UACGAAGGGGGCUAGCGUUGCUCGGAAUCACUGGGCGUAAAGCGCACGUAGGCGGCUUUCUAAGUCGGGGGUGAAAUCCUGGAGCUCAACUCCAGAACUGCCUUUGAUACUGAGAAGCUUGAGUCCGGGAGAGGUGAGUGGAACUGCGAGUGUAGAGGUGAAAUUCGUAGAUAUUCGCAAGAACACCAGUGGCGAAGGCGGCUCACUGGCCCGGUACUGACGCUGAGGUGCGGAAGCGUGGGGAGCAAACAGG
rnacentral:rRNA from 1 species